rnacentral:rRNA from 1 species
CAGUCGCCGCGGGAAUACAGAGGGUGCAAGCGUUAAUCGGAUUUAUUGGGCGUAAAGGGCGCGUAGGUGGUUAUUUAAGUGAGAUGUGAAAGCCCCGGGCUUAACCUGGGAACUGCAUCUUAUACUGGGUAACUGGAGUGCAGUAGAGGGUAGUGGAAUUUCCGGUGUAGCGGUGAAAUGCGUAGAUAUCGGAAGGAACACCAGUGGCGAAGGCGGCUACCUGGACUGAGACUGACACUGAGGCGCGAGAGCGUGGGGAGCAAACAGGAUUAGAUACCCGAGUAGUCCCUGUCUCUUAUAC